GGACCAUAGCUCAGUGAUAGAGCAUCUGCUUUGCAUGCAGAAGGUCCCAAGUUCAACCCCCAGUAUCUCCA
rnacentral:tRNA from 1 species